rnacentral:rRNA from 1 species
UACGAAGGGGACUAGCGUUGUUCGGAAUCACUGGGCGUAAAGCGCGCGUAGGCGGAUGUGUCAGUCAGGGGUGAAAUCCCGGGGCUCAACCUCGGAACUGCCUUUGAUACAGCACGUCUCGGGUCCGGAAGAGGUGGGUGAAAUUCCUAGUGUAGAGGUGAAAUUCGUAGAUAUUAGGAAGAACACCGGUGGCGAAGGCGGCCCACUGGUCCGGUACUGACGCUGAGGUGCGAAAGCGUGGGGAGCAAACAGG